ACAGAUAGAUAGAAAGAUAGGUAGGUAGGUAGGUAGGAAGAUAGAUAAAUAGGAAGAUAGGUAGGUAAGUAGGUAGGAAGAUUGAUUGACAGACAGACAGAGGAAGAUAGGUAGGUAAGUAGGUAGGAAGACAGAUUGACAGACACAGAGGUAAGUAAGUAGAUAAGAAGAUAGACAGAUUGACAGCCAGACAGAGGAAGAUAAGUAGGUAAGUAGGUAGGAAGAUAGAUUGAUUGAUUGACAGACAGACAGGAAGAUAGGUAGGUAAGUAGGUAGGAAGAUAGAUAGAUUCCUACAGCUGGAAGGGACACCAAUGGCCAUUCAGUCCAACCCUUAGGAGAUAGAUAGCAAGAUAGAUAGAUAGAUAGAUAGAUAGAUAGAUAGAUAGAUAGAUAGAUAGAUAGAUAGGAAGAUAGGUAGGUAGGUAGAAAGAUAGCUAGAUAGACAGACUGAUAAAUAGGAAGAUAGACAAAUAGGUAGGUAAGGAAGAUAGAUAGCAAAGGUAGGGAGAUAGAUUCCUACAGCUGAAAGGGACUCCAAUGGCCAUCCAGUCCAACCCUUAAGAGAUAGGUAGCAAGAUACAGACAAACAUAAAUAGAUAAGUAGGUAGAUAAAGACAGACAGGAAGAUAGAUAGGUAGAUAGGUAGGAAGACAGAUAGCAAGAUGGGAAGAUAGGAAGAUAAAUACAUUCCUACAGUUGGGAGAUACCCCAAGGAUCAUCCAGUCCAGCCCUUAAGAAAUAGAUACAUAGGUAAAUAUAAAGAUAGCAAGAUAGAUAAUCAGAUAGAUAGAUAGAUAGAUUCAUAGAACUGGGCCAAAUCCCACCUCGGCCUACCUUCCCCAGCCAGACCUUCGUACUUGUUGGACUACAACUCCCAUCCUCCCGAGCCGGCUGAAGACUAAACCACGGCUUGAGAAUGAAUAAUAAUAAUAAUUCUUGUAUGCGAAAGGGUCCUGGGAUUGCUUUCAAAGUCAAUGUCAGGGAGGUCACUGUGCGCAAAGGGCGAUGCGCUUCCCAUGCUUAGGCCUUUGGAGGAACUUGGAUUAAAAACAGUAUCGAUCGCAGCCUCGUUUGUGGAGAAAAGGGCCGGACCCAAAUGCGAGAUGUGACAAGGGCUCGGUUGGGAGGGGCAGCAGCCCAUGAAUGUGAUUUGAAAAAAGAUAAUAACGGGGAUUGGUUUUCAAAGAAGAUGAGAUUGGAGCCAAGGUGGCCAAGUGGAGUGAAUGUCGGCAACGCCUCUAAAACUACAACUCCCAGCAGCCCGUCCCCAUUGGGUCCCAGUGCUGCAACCAGCACCGAUUCCAGUGCUCUGCUUUCUGGAACGGAUCCCAAGCCAGCCCUGUUUUGCCUUUGUUAUCUCUCGUCUCAUGGGCGAAUCCUGCUAAAUACCUUAAAUAUUGGGUUUUGUAACGUGGGAUUUAUGAGUCACUUGCCUACCAGUGGGCAGGCUCCCUGGCUGAGCAUUGUCUGUGCAACCGUGCGCUACGUCUCUUCUUCUUUUUUUUUACUCCCAUCGCUGGGCAAGUGUCGCUUGGCAGAAGAAAGACUUUGAACUGCUUGAAAACACACGGAAGAGCUGGAAUGGCUGCCAAGGCUCAAUUCGAGCCUCCUAGAGUCUCUGGCAAACUAGACCUCCCGGUUUGAACUAGUGCAGAUUCAGAAAAAGACUCUUUCCCAAGACGAGGGUCUUCUCUAUAUAUAUGGUUGACCUUCUGUAUUGAUUGGUUUUCUCUCCAUGGAUUCAGCGAAGGCAACCGUAAGGCGGAUGUGACUCUCGAUGACAAGGAGUGGGACAGUCCUGGUGUAGAUACAUCUCAGCUGAAGAUGGAGAUCCAAAUUUGGUCCGUACGCAUGGCUGAUGGGCUUUGGAUGUGGGUGAAGGUGCUACAAGCCCCAUCAUCCAUGGUCCAUCCUCCCCAAGAUGUCAUGUGGGUCACUUUCCCAAGACAAGGGUCUUCUCUAUAUCUAUAGUUGACCUUCUGUAUUGAUUGGUUUUCUCUCCAUGGAUUCAAUGAAGGCAACCGUAAGGCGGAUGUGACUCUCGAUGACAAGGAGUGGGACAGUCCUGGUGUAGACGCACCUCAGCUGAAGAUGGAGAUCCAAAUUUGGUCCGUACGCAUGGCUGAUGGGCUUUGGAUGUGGGUGAAGGUGCUACAAGCCCCAUCAUCCAUGGUCCAUCCUCCCCAAGAUGUCAUGUGGGUCACUUUCCCAAGACAAGGGUCUUCUCUAUAUCUAUAGUUGACCUUCUGUAUUGAUUGGUUUUCUCUCCAUGGAUUCAAUGAAGGCAACCGUAAGGCGGAUGUGACUCUCGAUGACAAGGAGUGGGACAGUCCUGGUGUAGACGCACCUCAGCUGAAGAUGGAGAUCCAAAUUUGGUCCGUACGCAUGGCUGAUGGGCUUUGGAUGUGGGUGAAGGUGUUGCAAGCCCCAUCCAUGGUCCAUCCUCCCCAAGAUGUCAUGUGGGUCACCUUCCCAAGACAAGGGUCUUCUAUAUAUACAGUUGACCUUCUGUAUUGAUUGGUUUUCUCUCCAUGGAUUCAACGAAGGCAGCCGUAAGGCGGAUGUGACUCUCGAUGACAAGGAGUGGGAUGGCCCUGGUGAAGAUGGAGAUCCAAGUUUGGUCCGUACGCAUGGCUGAUGGGUUUUGGAUGUGGGUGAAGGUGCUGCAAGCCCCAUCAUCCAUGGUCCAUCCUCCCCAGGACGUCACAUGGGUCAAGAGGGGACAGGCCUUGCCUUGCAUGCUAUUGCAAAGCGUGACCCUGUCUGCUCUCCUCCGACGGCUCCUGUUUCGCUCCCUCCUUUCCCUUCGCUUCUCCAGGGACCCGGGUGAGAACAUCCCCCCCCCCCCCGUUGCUAUGGAAACCCCAUCAUCAGGCUUAAUCCCAAUUUCGGUCUCUUCUCUCUCCUUUUUUCGGCUUUUGGAUCUCAAUGCAAGACUCAACAGAAUAAACCGCAGCCUUCCAGAUGUGACUGCAUCCCAACUCCCAUCAGUUCUAGUUGAGAGGUUUAAUGAUGAGAAAGAUGGGAGUUGUAGUCCAGCAUCUGGAAGAGGGACAUGGAGGGAGUUUGAGGCCUGUGAUCUACACUCCUAGCCUUGGAAAUACGAAAGGUGUCAACUGGCAACCAUCCAGCCAUGUCCUCCUCCCUCCCUGGCUUCCGCUCCUCUCCAAGGCUUGCUUGCUUGCUUGCUUGCUUGCUUGCUUGCUUGCUUGCUUGCUUGCUUCCUUCCUUCCUUCCUUCCUUCCUUCCUUCCUUCCUUCCUUCCUUCCUUCCUUCCUUCCUUCCUUCUGUUGAGACUGGCAGGCAUCUCUCCACCUCCUCCUGAUCUCCAGAUGGAUCAUGAUCUCCAGCUGUUUGCCUUAAUCACCCAAGGCUCCCUCGCCCAGCGGGUGCCCGUCUUCAUGCCAACUAGUUGCCGGCAUUGAGCCGCUGAACUUGAAAGCCUCGCCUUGCAUCUCAUUUGAAUCGCCUUCCUCUGGACACAUUCCAGCUUGGAGUCAACAUCUCCCUUCAGUUGUGGUGCCCAGAAUGGGACACAGUGUGAUUCCAGGGCAAUGCAAUGCCUCCUCCUGAUACAACCCCGAUGGCUUGACGUUCUCCACAAUGAGCGAAAGAAAAAUGGAGAAAGCCGAGUGACAAGGACAAGCGACAGAGGAACUUCGGCACCGGGGGUGAGCGGCUUUUGAAAUACGGCCGGGGAUUUCGGGCGGGAUAAAUAUAUUCCUGAUGAUUGCUGCUAAAUCAUGGCGAUUGUCCCAUAAAUAAAGGCAGGCGCACCGCACGGUUCGUGUUGUGGAUUUCUUUA